rnacentral:rRNA from 1 species
CCUACGUGGGACAGCAGUGAGGAAUAUUGGUCAAUGGACGGAAGUCUGAACCAGCCAUGCCGCGUGCAGGAAGACGGCUCUAUGAGUUGUAAACUGCUUUUGUACAAGGGUAAACCUGAAUACGUGUAUUCAGCUGAAAGUACUGUACGAAUAAGGAUCGGCUAACUCCGUGUCAGCAGCCGCGGUAAUACGGAGGAUCCAAGCGUUAUCCGGAUUUAUUGGGUUUAAAGGGUGCGUAGGCGGAUUGAUAAGUUAGAGGUGAAAUGUCCGAGCUUAACUCGGGAACUGCCUCUAAUACUGUUGAUCUAGAGAGUAGAUGCGGUAGGCGGAAUGUAUGGUGUAGCGGUGAAAUGCUUAGAGAUCAUACAGAACACCGAUUGCGAAGGCAGCUUACCAAUCUAUAUCUGACGUUGAGGCACGAAAGCGUGGGGAGCAAACAGGAUUAGAUACCCGUGUAGUC